rnacentral:rRNA from 1 species
UACGGAGGGUGCGAGCGUUGUCCGGAUUUAUUGGGUGUAAAGAGCGUGUAGGCGGUCUGGUAUGUCCGUUGUGAAAACUCGAGGCUCAACCUCGAGACGCCGAUGGAAACCAUCAGACUAGAGUCCGGAAGAGGAGUGUGGAAUUCCCGGUGUAGCGGUGAAAUGCGCAGAUAUCGGGAGGAACACCGGUGGCGAAGGCGGGUCUCUGGGCCGAUACUGACGCUGAGGAGCGAAAGCGUGGGGAGCGAACAGG